AGACUCGCAACCUUAAUCCACACACGUAUCGACACGGUCUGUCGGGUGCUGGUUCGCACAAGCGGAUCGGUUUCAGGCCGGGAUGCGUGGAGGCCCAAC
rnacentral:sRNA from 1 species